CACUCUUAUCAUCGCCCGUGAAAUUUUUUUCUGUUGUUGUUUUUUAUCUUUAUACUAGAGGUAAUUUUUUGUUCUUGAGUUAUUUUUCACUUUAAUAAUAUGUUGAAUCUCUGUACCUUUGGGUAUUUUCUUUUUUUGGGGGGGGGGGGUCCUAGCAUGUGGGAUCUUGCUUUACUAAUCUUCAAUCUGGGUUGUAGCAAGAAUAGAUAUACUGUUGUUGCCGUUUAAGUCUAUUUUCAUACUUUUGUGUUCCCUUUAGUUUUGCAAUGGAGAAAGUUAUUUGUUUUUGUGUAGUUUGUUCUAUAUGUGCCCUACUUUUGGUUUUUGCGAGAUUAAUGUUUCUUCUUCUGAACUUUCUGUUGUUUUCUCUUUCCAUCAAUUUAUUUAAACUUAUUAACUGUCUAUGAGGUUAUUGAAGAAAGUAGGAAAAAUAAGGAACUAAAGCUCGCCAUAAUUGUGUGAUGGCUGCAAAACUUUAUUUAAUGCUAUUAUAGUGAGCGUUUAUUUUUCUUAAUUCAUUUCUAUCCAUUGAAUGACCAAUUUUUGCUAUGUAUGUCUAUGUAUGGUAUUUUCACUAUUUAUUCAGCAAGAUAUGGUAUUUAUUUUUACUAUAGAGGUAAUCUUUCUGAUUUGGAGUCAUUUUUCCCUCUUCUAAUUUCUUGAAUCUCUUACUUUUGGAUUUUUUCUUUUCUUGGAGCUUUAGCAUGUGCGAUAUUGCCACACUAAUCUGCAAUCUGGGUUUUAUCAAGAGUAUGUAUAUUGUUGUUGUCGUUCAAGUAUAUCUUUUUACUCUUAUGUUCCCUUUAGUUUUGCAAUGGCGAAAGAUUUUUUCUUCUUCUGUUUUUUCUGUAGCAGAAGAAUGUGCUUUUCAUUUCUCUUAGAUUGAUCCAUAAAUUUUGAGCUUCCUAUGUGUUGACUAUGAUUUUUGUGUUCGAUUCUUUCUUCUGGGUAGUUGCUUAAGUUCCAAAUUGAUACGUAUUUUCAAUUUCUCUAUUUCUUGGGUGCAUAUUUAUGUUUUUUGUUUGGGGGGGGGGGGUAUUCAUUAUAUAUAUCCCUGUACAAUAAAAGGGACUUCAUUCAGGCACUAUUCAUCAGAUUUUUCUUUGUUUUUUUUUUUUAAACUUAGCCUGAUAUUUUUUCCUUCAACCAGUGUAAAUUUGCCAGCUGUUUUGCUUUUUUACUUUCACGCAACCCUCAUCCCUUCACAAUUGUAUCCCACCUUUACUCUUUCACUCCAUUUUUUCACAGCUUUAUCUCACCUUCUCUGUUACAUGUAAGUAUUAUGCCCUAGGUCCAAUCAACUUUGGACAUAAAUACUUUUAUAUAUAAUUAAUGCAAUUAAAUGACAGAUCUAUUAUUUAAUUAAUAGACAAUUAAAUAAAUAAUAGAGUCCGUAGAUUCAAAUAUUUGUAAUUUGUUAAUCACAAGGAGUUGUGAUUGUGAGAUACAAAUUACAUCUGAUUGAAUCUUAAAUCAUCCGUGGUCGUAAGUAAUAACGAGAUACGGAUAUCGUUAUUACGGAUAGA
rnacentral:lncRNA from 1 species